CACGUAGGGUGCGAGCGCUGUCCGGAAUUAUUGGGCGUAAAGAGCUCGUAGGCGGUGUGUCGCGUCGGCCGUGAAAACCUGCAGCUUAACUGUGGGCGUGCGGUCGAUACGGGCAUCACUGGAGUUCGGCAGGGGAGACUGGAAUUCCUGGUGUAGCGGUGAAAUGCGCAGAUAUCAGGAGGAACACCGGUGGCGAAGGCGGGUCUCUGGGCCGAUACUGACGCUGAGGUGCGAAAGCGUGGGGAGCAAACAGG
rnacentral:rRNA from 1 species